rnacentral:rRNA from 1 species
AUUGAACGCUGGCGGCAUGCCUUACACAUGCAAGUCGAACGGCAGCAUGGGUGCUUGCACCUGAUGGCGAGUGGCGAACGGGUGAGUAAUGCAUCGGAACGUACCCGGAAGUGGGGGAUAACGCAGCGAAAGUUACGCUAAUACCGCAUAUUCUGUGAGCAGGAAAGUGGGGGAUCGCAAGACCUCGCGCUUCCGGAGCGGCCGAUGUCGGAUUAGCUAGUUGGCGGGGUAAAGGCCCACCAAGGCAACGAUCCGUAGCGGGUCUGAGAGGAUGAUCCGCCACACUGGGACUGAGACACGGCCCAGACUCCUACGGGAGGCAGCAGUGGGGAACUUUGGACAAUGGGGGCAACCCUGAUCCAGCCAUGCCGCGUGAGUGAAGAAGGCCUUCGGGUUGUAAAGCUCUUUCGGCCGGGAAGAAAUCGCACAGGUUAAUACCUUGUGUGGAUGACGGUACCGGAAUAAGAAGCACCGGCUAACUACGUGCCAGCAGCCGCAGUAAUAC